rnacentral:rRNA from 1 species
UGGGGAAUAUUGGACAAUGGGCGAAAGCCUGAUCCAGCCAUGCCGCGUGUGUGAAGAAGGUCUUCGGAUUGUAAAGCACUUUAAGUUGGGAGGAAGGGCAUUAACCUAAUACGUUAGUGUUUUGACGUUACCGACAGAAUAAGCACCGGCUAACUCUGUGCCAGCAGCCGCGGUAAUACAGAGGGUGCAAGCGUUAAUCGGAAUUACUAGGCGUAAAGCGCGCGUAGGUGGUUUGUUAAGUUGGAUGUGAAAUCCCCGGGCUCAACCUGGGAACUGCAUUCAAAACUGACUGACUAGAGUAUGGUAGAGGGUGGUGGAAUUUCCUGUGUAGCGGUGAAAUGCGUAGAUAUAGGAAGGAACACCAGUGGCGAAGGCGACCACCUGGACUAAUACUGACACUGAGGUGCGAAAGCGUGGGGAGCAAACA